UACGUAGGGUGCAAGCGUUGUCCGGAAUUACUGGGCGUAAAGCGCGCGCAGGCGGCCUUUUAAGUCUGACGGUGAAAUGCCGGGGCUCAACCCCGUGCCCGCCGGAGAUACUGGGAGGCUGGAGACGAGUAGAGGCAAGCGGAAUUCCGGGUGUAGCGGUGGAAUGCGUAGAGAUCCGGAAGAACACCGGAGGCGAAGGCGGCUUGCUGGGCUCGGUCUGACGCUGAGGCGCGAAAGCGUGGGGAGCGAACAGG
rnacentral:rRNA from 1 species